rnacentral:rRNA from 1 species
CCUACGGGGUGCAGCAGUGGGGGAUAUUGCACAAUGGGGGGAACCCUGAUGCAGCGACGCCGCGUGGGUGAAGGAGUGCUUCGGCAUGUAAAGCCCUAUCGGCAGGGAAGAAGCAAGACGGUACCUGACUAAGAAGCCCCGGCUAACUACGUGCCAGCAGCCGCGGUAAUACGUAGGGGGCGAGCGUUAUCCGGAUUCACUGGGUGUAAAGGGAGCGUAGACGGCCAUGCAAGCCAGGGGUGAAAGCCCGGGGCCCAACCCCGGGACUGCCCUUGGAACUGUGCGGCUAGAGUGCGGGAGGGGCAGGCGGAAUUCCUGGUGUAGCGGUGAAAUGCGUAGAUAUCAGGAGGAACACCGGCGGCGAAGGCGGCCUGCUGGACUGCGACUGACGUGGAGGCUCGAAAGCGUGGGGAGCGAACAGGAUUAGAUACCCGGGUAGUC